AUUGAACGCUAGCGGCAGGCUUAACACAUGCAAGUCGAAAGAGUGGCGGACGGGUGAGUAAUGCAUGGGAAUCUGGCUGGUGGAGGGGGAUAACGACGGGAAACUGUCGCUAAUACCGCGUACCAUUGGCAGAGCCCAAGGGGGAUUAGGUAGUUGGUGGGGUAAAGGCCUACAAAGACGACGAUCUCUAGCUGGUCUGAGAGGAUGACCAGCCAAACCGGGAUUGAGACACGGCCCAGACUCCUACGGGAGGCAGCAGUGGGGAAUGUUCGGCAAUGGACGAAAGUCUGACCGAGCAACGCCGCGUGGAUGAAGAAGGUUUUCGGAUCGGAAAACACUUUUGUUAGAGAAGCGGUAUCUAACCAGAAAGCCACGGCUAACUACGUGCCAGCAGCCGCGGUAAUGC
rnacentral:rRNA from 1 species